UACGUAGGGUGCGAGCGUUGUCCGGAAUUAUUGGGCGUAAAGGGCUCGUAGGCGGUUUGUCGCGUCGGGAGUGAAAACCAGGUGCUUAACACCUGGCUUGCUUUCGAUACGGGCAGACUAGAGGUAUGCAGGGGAGAACGGAAUUCCUGGUGUAGCGGUGAAAUGCGCAGAUAUCAGGAGGAACACCGGUGGCGAAGGCGGUUCUCUGGGCAUGACCUGACGCUGAGGAGCGAAAGCGUGGGGAUCAAACAGG
rnacentral:rRNA from 1 species